UUCUUGGAACUAUUUUGAUUUGAAGAACAAUAGUUUCCUAAUUAUAUUUGAUGAUAACAAUAUAUAUAUAUAUAUAAUUAAAAUCUAUCAAAAUAAGGAUUUUAGAAAUUUUAACAUAUCAAAUCUAUCACUAAGGAGUUUUAAUUAAGAUAAGAGUGGUGGACAAAAGAGAUAAUAUAGAAAAUAUUCAAAGGGCAAUAAGGAGAAUUUCUCUCCAUUUUCCCUCAUUUAUUCCUUCAAAGAGAAAAAGACUCAAUCAUUCGAUUCGCUCUCUCCCGUGUCCUAAACUUCAAAGAAACCUUCCAUUGGUACUCUUCAUCGCCUCUCUCAAAUACUCUAUUUCUCAUUCUUUUUCAAAACCACCAAAAACAUUAGUUUACUAAACUUCAUAACGUCGGACCUGCCCAUGCAUUCGCUCUCUCCCGUGUCCUAAACUUCAAAGAAACCUUCCAUUGGUACUCUUCAUCGCCUCUCUCAAAUACUCUAUUUCUCAUUCUUUUUCAAAAUCACCAAAAACAUUAGUUUACUAAACUUCAUAACGUCGGCCCUGACCCAUUGCAUGGGCAGGUUCAGCGUUCAACUUUCAAUAGUUGACCAAAUCACAUUGAAGAGAAAACAAGCAACAAGGAAAAACUCCAAAACAAUUGGAAUAAGAUGCGAAUACUAAAGAGGAAAAUAGAUAACUACUCCAAAUCAACUCAAAUCGAAUAGGAUAACUUUCAUAGAAUAAUGUGAGUUAUGUUACAUUAACUUCUUUUAACAUGAUGAUUAUGGGAAUUAAUUCUCUAAAACUCUUUAAUUCUUGUCAAAAGUUGUUUUGGUGGAAUUACGGGUUAGAAGAAUUUAGAGCGUUAGGAAAUGAAUUUUUUAGCAUAUAAGUGUUUUGAAAUUGCACCCAAAUGAUUUUAAAUGUCAUACACGUUGUUCGUUUGAUCUUUGUAUAAUUGUUGUGUUAAAUUUUUUGGAACUCUUGGGAUUUUGAGUAAAGAAUUGUAGUUUAAUGUGUAAAUCCUAUCACUGAAGGCAAAUGUGUGUGUCUUAGAAGCUCUUUGACUCUUGUCUCUAUAGUUUUGCCUCUAGGUGUCAUUUUGUAACCUUGGGGUUUUUGUCUCUGAUUGUUGUUUUAAAAACCUAAGUAUUUUUACCUUCGAUAAUUCUUUUCUAUUUGCUACCUCUGAUUCCUAACUCAUGAUUUUCGACAUUCUACCUCUGAUGAAUAAUUUAUGUUUUUUGGUAUGUUGCCUCUAAUGCUGUUUCUCAACUCUGAGCAUUUUUGCCUUUAGGUUUUCCUUCUGUUUUUACCUUUGGUAGCUGUUUUAUUAUUUGUUGUAUUUUGCAUCUAGUAAAUUAUUUUUGAUUUUGCCUCUAGUGAAAUGCUUCUAUUUUGCCUCUGAUAAUACUCAAGCUCCUCUGAUCAGGCUUUCUUUUAUCCAAGUUUCUCUUAUCAAAAUGCAUAUGAUGCACGUAUCUUCUAAUCAUGCUGCCUUUAGUCCAAGUUCUUCUGAUCAUGCUACCCCUUAUCCAAGUUCCUCUGAUCACACUACAUCUAAUCUAAGUUCUUAUGAUUCUUCCUCUUGACACGUAUUCUUUGAUUCUUCAUUUGGACGCGUAUCAUCCAAUUCUUCCUCUAAAUGUGUAUCCUCUGAUUCUUCCUCUGAACGUGUAUCCACAUAUUCUUUCUCUAGACAUGUAUCCUCUGAUUCUACCUCUAGAUGUGUAUCCUUUGAUUAUUCUCUGAUUCUUCCUUUCUAUGUUUAUCCUCUAAUUCAUCCUCUAACUCUGUGUUUGGUCACAUAUCUUCUGACUCCGAUUAUGUUGCCUUUGACCUAUAUACUUCUAGUUAUGUUGCAUCUGGUUAGAGUUUUCCUUUGGUUCCAGCUUUGAUCUGGAGUUUAGAUUUAAUUCCCAGUUGAUUUUCAAUAUAUUUUUAAGUUAUUAUAAGUGUUAUGGGGUAACGAUGCAUUGCAAAUAUCAUACUAUCAAGGGCAUUGCAUACAUAACAUCUCAAGUGCAUUACACUCUUAUUAAUCAGAUCAUGCAAGGUCUUAUUUACGUGGGACAUUUAGGUUUGUUCUAGGCAUGGAAUAAUAGGUAGAUGAGAACAAUCAGGACGCUGGUUAGAGUUUGGUCUGACAUCAUUUACCAAUCAAGACUCAAUUAUCUUGGUGACAUACAUUAAGAUAUUGAGUGAAUCUUCCUUGUUUCAAGGAAAAAAAUUUAGGUCAUGCAUAGUUUUCAAAAUCAUAAUGAAAGAAUGAUUUCAGUUAAGCUUUUAUGAAAAAUUGAAGUUAAGAGCUCCAUCAUGAGAUGCAUCAUAAUUUUAUAUUUUUAUGCAUAUUUAUGAAUAAAUCUUUUUAAACUACUCCUUCCUUUAUUUUUAGAUCUCAGUAAGCUUUUUAUCUCACCUAUUUUAUUUUUUAUACAUUAACAACUGAAGGUGACUGAUGCUCAGUUCCAGUACUAGAACAUGAUAUGCAAGCUCUGUUUUGUACUUAGUGCUUUAUUUUUUUUAUUUGAUGUAACAUGAUGUAUUAGGGAACAUUUUUAUAAUUUCAGUAUUGUUGCUGUAAUUUAAUCAAAUAGUUCAUUA
rnacentral:lncRNA from 1 species